CGGAACGUAGCGCAGCCUGGUAGCGCACUGGUCUGGGGGACCAGGGGUCGCCGGUUCGAAUCCGGCCGUUCCGACCA
rnacentral:tRNA from 1 species